GUACCUACCUGGUAGGGGAGAUACCAUGAUCAUGAUGAUUAUGAAAGUGGUUUUCCCAGGGUGAGGCUUUUCCAUUACACUCCGGAUGUGCUAACCCCUGGGAUUUCCCCAAAUUUGGGGAACUGAAUAAUUUGUGGUAGUGGGGGACUGCAUUCAAACUCUCCCCUG